rnacentral:rRNA from 1 species
UACGGGGGGGGCAAGCGUUGUUCGGAAUUACUGGGCGUAAAGGGCGCGUAGGCGGCCUUCUAAGUCAGACGUGAAAUCCCUCGGCUCAACCGAGGAACUGCGCCUGAUACUGGAAGGCUUGAAUCCGGGAGAGGGAUGUGGAAUUCCAGGUGUAGCGGUGAAAUGCGUAGAUAUCUGGAGGAACACCGGUGGCGAAGGCGGCAUCCUGGACCAUUACUGACACUGAAAAGCGAAAGCCAGGGGAGCAAACGGG